rnacentral:rRNA from 1 species
GGGAAUUUUGCGCAAUGGGGGAAACCCUGACGCAGCAACGCCGCGUGCGGGACGACGGCCCUCGGGUUGUAAACCGCUUUCAGUGGGGUCGAUGGUGACGGUACCCACAGAAGAAGCUCCGGCUAACUACGUGCCAGCAGCCGCGGUAAUACGUAGGGAGCGAGCGUUAUCCGGAUUCAUUGGGCGUAAAGCGCGCGUAGGCGGCUGCCUAAGCGGAACCUCUAAUCCCGGGGCUCAACCUCGGGCCGGGUUCCGAACUGGGCGGCUCGAGUGCGGUAGAGGCAGGCGGAAUUCCCGGUGUAGCGGUGGAAUGCGCAGAUAUCGGGAAGAACACCGAUGGCGAAGGCAGCCUGCUGGGCCGUCACUGACGCUGAGGCGCGAAAGCUGGGGGAGCGAACA